rnacentral:rRNA from 1 species
GGACGAACGCUGGCGGCGUGCCUAAUACAUGCAAGUCGAACGGUCUUUCUAUGGAAGCUUGCUUCCACUGAGAAGAUAGUGGCGAACGGGUGAGUAACACGUGGGUAACCUGCCCAUAAGAGGGGGGAUAACAUCCGGAAACGGGUGCUAAUACCGCAUAGUUUUCUUGAUUGCAUGAUUGAGAAAGGAAAGACGGCCUUUGUGCUGUCGCUUAUGGAUGGACCCGCGGCGUAUUAGUUAGUUGGUGAGGUAACGGCUCACCAAGACGAUGAUACGUAGCCGACCUGAGAGGGUGAUCGGCCACAUUGGGACUGAGACACGGCCCAAACUCCUACGGGAGGCAGCAGUAGGGAAUCUUCCGCAAUGGACGAAAGUCUGACGGAGCAACGCCGCGUGAGUGAAAGAAGGUUUUCGGAUCGUAAAACUCUGUUGUCAGAGAAGAACAAGUUGGAGAGUAACUGCUCCAGCCUUGACGGUAUCUGACCAGAAAGCCACGGCUAACUACGUGCCAGCCGCCGC